CCGUCGAGGAUUAGGAUCGAGUUUCUUCGAUCGUGAGGGCAAUUAUUAGCGGCCUCUAGCCCCCCAGAUGGCAUCUUGAGGAGAGAGAAUCCACGCUACGAGAACUAACAUAGUGGACAUCGCAGUUGUCCGUAGCCGAUUUGCGGGUUACGGAGUUGUUGCAAGUAGAGAAGGGGAAAUCCGAGCGUUCUCGCGUUGGAUUUCCUCCACGUGUUAAAUGCGAAUGGUAGUGAUAUCUCGUGCUAUCUCUGUCAAGGGCAAGAAGGAGAAAGAAUUUAUUUGAGGCCCUACGACGUGGUGCGGUGGCUCACGCCUGUAAUCCCAACACUUUGGGAGGCCGAGGCAGGCGGAUCAUCUGAGAUCGAGAGUUCGAGACCAGCUUGACCAACAUGGAGAAACCCCGUCUCUACUAAAAGUACAAAAUUAGCCAGGCAUGGUGGCACAUGCCCGUAAUCCCAGCUACUCGGGAGGCUGAGGCAGGAGAGUAGCUUGAGCCCAGGAGGCGGAGGUUGUGGUGAGCCGAGAUCGCGCCAUUGCACAGCCUGGGCAACGAGCGAAACUCCAUCUCAAAAAAAUAAAUAAAAAUUUUUUUAAAAAAG
rnacentral:lncRNA from 1 species